CCUCUCCUUUCUCCCCUCAGUUCCUCCUUCUUCACCUUCCAGAUGUGUCCCGUUUGUUCCAUGACGAAUUGAGCAGCCAAUGUGCUGCAGUCUGCAUCUCUGUUUACUGCAGAGGCUCUCGGUGCUUGACAGAAUGCAUCAGUGAGUUCCGAUGACCUCAGUGGGCUCCCUCGCUGCUUGAGUGCCCACAAGUGCAGAAAGGCAGUGUUAGAGGAUAUUGAUGAAGUGACUCCACCCACAUGAUGGCCGGUAAAGAAAUGAAGCAGUUCAUGGAGAGCACUGGACACGUCAGCCAUAGAGAAGCUUCAUGCUGGAGCCAAGGGGCCGAUUUACAUAAAAGCUAAUGGGAGCUUUGUAAAGGGACAUGCGUUUACCGAGAAUAACAGCAGGAGUCCUAGCAACAGGAGUCCCAGCGGCAGAGCUUUCAAGCAGAGGAUCAACAGGCAAAAAGUUUUUUUAUAAACAGUUAUCAUCGAUGCUGACCAUAGAAAAGUAAAAUGCUUGCUUUAUUGCUGAGACAGGGAAAAUGGACUCUCCAUUUAUGUACAGGCGUGUCUACUAGUACUUUCAUGAGCAGUGUUAACAAUAAAUGAGCAAUUCAGCAACCACA
rnacentral:lncRNA from 1 species